AUUGAACGCUGGCGGAAUGCUUUACACAUGCAAGUCGAACGGUAGAGGGGGCAACCCCUCGAGAGUGGCGAACGGGUGAGUAAUAUAUCGGAACGUGCCAAGUCGUGGGGGAUAACGUAGCGAAAGUUACGCUAAUACCGCAUACGAUCUAAGGAUGAAAGCGGGGGAUCGCAAGACCUCGCGCGAUUGGAGCGGCCGACAGCAGACUAGGUAGUUGGUGGGGUAAAGGCUCACCAAGCCGACGAUCUGUAGCGGGUCUGAGAGGACGACCAGACGGUCGGGAACGGGGAAACGGUCCAUGCUCCUUGGGGAGGCAGCAGUGGGUAAUGUUGGACAAUGGACGCAAGGCUGAUCCAGCCAUUCCGCGUGCAGGAUGAAGGCCCUCGGGUUGUAAACUGCUUUUGUACGGAACGAAUAGGUCUCUCUUGAUACGGGGGGCUCAUGACGGUACCGUAAGAAUAAGCACCGGCUAACUACGUGCCAGCCGCGGCGGUAA
rnacentral:rRNA from 1 species